rnacentral:tRNA from 1 species
GGAAGCGUAGCGAAGUGGUCAUAACGCGCCGCUCUCGAAAAGCGGUUGUCCUCCGGGGCACGAGAGUUCGAAUCUCUCCGCUUCCGCCA